GACAGAGGGUGCGAACGUUUGUUCGGAAUUACUGGGCGUAAAGCGCAUGUAGGCGGCAACGCAAGUCGGGCGUGAAAUCCCACGGCUCAACCGUGGAAGUGCACUCGAACUGCGUAGCUAGAGUCCUGGAGAGGAAGGUGGAAUGCUUGGUGUAGAGGUGAAAUUCGUAGAUAUCAAGCGGAACACCGGUGGCGAAGGCGGCCUCUGGACAGUGACUGACGCUGAGAGUGCGAAAGCGUGGGAGCAAACAGGGAUAGAUACCCCGUGUAUCC
rnacentral:rRNA from 1 species